GACGAACGCUGGCGGCGUGCUUAACACAAGCAAGUCGAACGAUGAACCCGGAGCUUGCUCCGGCGGAUUAGUGGCGAACGGGUGAGUAACACGUGAGUAACCUGCCCUUGACUCUGGGAUAACUGCGGGAAACUGUAGCUAAUACCGGAUACGACCCUCGGCGGCAUCGCCAGGGGGUGGAAAGAACUUCGGUCAAGGAUGGACUCGCGGCCUAUCAGCGAGUUGGUGAGGUAGCGGCUCACCAAGGUGACGACGGGUAGCCGGCCUGAGAGGUUGACCGGCCACACGGGGUCUGAGACACUGCCCAGACUCCUACGUGAGGCAGCAGUGGGGAAUAUUGCACAAUGGGCGCAAGCCUGAUGCAGCAACGCCGCGUGAGGGAUGACGGCCUUCGGGUUGUAAACCUCUUUUAGUAGGGAAGAAGCGAAAGUGACGGUACCUGCAGAAAAAGCACCGGCUAACUACGUGCCAGCCGCCGCCGUAA
rnacentral:rRNA from 1 species